UACGAAGGGGGCUAGCGUUGUUCGGAAUCACUGGGCGUAAAGCGCACGUAGGCGGAUUGUUAAGUCGGGGGUGAAAUCCUGAGGCUCAACCUCAGAACUGCCUUCGAUACUGGCAAUCUCGAGUCCGGAAGAGGUUGGUGGAACAGCUAGUGUAGAGGUGAAAUUCGUAGAUAUUAGCUAGAACACCAGUGGCGAAGGCGGCCAACUGGUCCGGUACUG
rnacentral:rRNA from 1 species